CCUACGGGUGGCAGCGGUCGAGAAUCUUUCACAAUGGGGGCAACCCUGAUGGAGCGACGCCGCGUGGAGGAUAAGGUCUUCGGAUUGUAAACUCCUGUCAUGCGAGAGCUAGUAUCGCAAGAGGAAGAGACGGCUAACUCUGUGCCAGCAGCCGCGGUAAUACAGAGGUCUCAAGCGUUGUUCGGAAUCACUGGGCGUAAAGGGUGCGUAGGCGGCGGAGUAAGUCGGGUGUGAAAUUUGAAGGCUCAACCUUCAACUAGCACCUGAUACUGCUUUGCGUGAGGUCUGAAGAGGAGCUUGGAAUUCUCGGUGUAGCAGUGAAAUGCGUAGAUUUCGAGAAGAACGCUCGCAGCGAAAGCGAAGCUCUGGUCAGUCUGACGCUGAGGCACGAAGUCUAGGGGAGCAAACGGGAUUAAAUACCCCUGUAGUC
rnacentral:rRNA from 1 species